AGAGUUUGAUCCUGGCUCAGGACGAACGCUGGCGGCGUGCCUAAUACAUGCAAGUAGAACGCUGAAGAGAGGAGCUUGCUCUUCUUGGAUGAGUUGCGAACGGGUGAGUAACGCGUAGGUAACCUGCCUUGUAGCGGGGGAUAACUAUUGGAAACGAUAGCUAAUACCGCAUAACAAUGGAUGACUCAUGUCAUUUAUUUGAAAGGGGCAAAUGCUCCACUACAAGAUGGACCUGCGUUGUAUUAGCUAGUAGGUGAGGUAACGGCUCACCUAGGCGACGAUACAUAGCCGACCUGAGAGGGUGAUCGGCCACACUGGGACUGAGACACGGCCCAGACUCCUACGGGAGGCAGCAGUAGGGAAUCUUCGGCAAUGGGGGCAACCCUGACCGAGCAACGCCGCGUGAGUGAAGAAGGUUUUCGGAUCGUAAAGCUCUGUUGUAAGUCAAGAACGAGUGUGAGAGUGGAAAGUUCACACUGUGACGGUAGCUUACCAGAAAGGGACGGCUAACUACGUGCCAGCAGCCGCGGUAAUACGUAGGUCCCGAGCGUUGUCCGGAUUUAUUGGGCGUAAAGCGAGCGCAGGCGGUUUGAUAAGUCUGAAGUUAAAGGCUGUGGCUCAACCAUAGUUCGCUUUGGAAACUGUCAAACUUGAGUGCAGAAGGGGAGAGUGGAAUUCCAUGUGUAGCGGUGAAAUGCGUAGAUAUAUGGAGGAACACCGGUGGCGAAAGCGGCUCUCUGGUCUGUAACUGACGCUGAGGCUCGAAAGCGUGGGGAGCAAACAGGAUUAGAUACCCUGGUAGUCCACGCCGUAAACG
rnacentral:rRNA from 2 species